UGGUUGAAAUGUUAGGACUUGAGAAAACUUGAAGAUCUCCAAACAAAGGAAGUCGGUGGUACGGUUGUCCGGAACUGCAGUCCAGGCUGGAUGGUAAUGGACUGGACCGCCGGAUGACAUAAGUGGCCAUUUCCCCUCUUCCGCCCGAGCGAUAGGACGCUGCUUGCAUUUCGGGAGAAGACAUGGUGUCCGGAACACGACACGGAUUUUGGAUUGAGGAUGGCAAUGCAGAAAGAUGGCAGCUGAGCCCUUGACGGCCACUUGAAUCCGUGGACAGUUUUCUGUGGACUUCCACGUGAGAAUGGAACUUAAUCUUGUUGACAGACUAUUUUAUUUCCCCUCCCCCCUUGCCUUGUACAUAUCAUUGUGACAUAAUGAAGUGAAGCCACGUCCAUUUUGGACGGCAGGAGUCAGAGACAUGUUAGAGUGAGCUCAAGACAUCAACUGUGUUAUAUAUUCACAAAGACAACGAAAACCAGAGCUGUGAAGGGGCUUUCCGAAGCCUCCCUACUCAGUACUCAUUCUAUAAAUAAUUCCUGAACAUGUCCCGUGGGAAGCUCUUUGCCAGGCAUUAAGGCACAGGGAUGAAGGUAGGGCAUGAUUCCGUCUAUCUAGAAGUUCACAAAAUGCACCAAGUGGGCAGAUCAUCACUUUCCUUGAGUGUUGCAUCUAGGGAGUUAAUUCUUGUUGUGUUAAAACCACAGCAUCUUUUUAUGCUGAUGAUGAGGAAGAGGAAGAGGAGGAAGAGGAUCAAGAAAAGGAAGAGGAAGAGGAGGAGCAGACAAGCACCUUUGUGCCGUGGGAGGUCAGAGAACAACUUUCAGGAGAUGAGUCAGUCACUCCUUCCACCUUAGGUUUGGAGAAUCAAGCUCAGGUCCUCAGUCCUCAUACUUCUGGGACAAAUGCUUUUAUCCACUAUCCAUCCCACACCCAAGCUACAGCUUCUGAAACUGUGCGCUCAGCUCCAUGUGUGAAGGUAUAAAAAAAUCUGGUGACAGAAAUGUUUCUGUAUACCCAACACACCAAAAACAAACAAACAAACAAAAAACAAAACAAAACAAAACAAAACAACAAACAAACAAACAAACCCCAAAAUCAAAUGUUUAACGAAUGCCAGGUCUUUCUGGCAGGGUUCACCCACGUGUUGACUGCAGCCUGGGUUCUGAACACACAACAGACAGAGGAUGCACUUACAUGCUGACUAGUCACACGGUGCCCAUGAAUGCUGAAUGACACCAUUAACUCAGAUGUGAGACCGUAUACAUUAUGGAUACAGUAUUCUCUACACGAAGUUUUCUUCGCUUAUAAAAACAACAGCUUGGUUAUAGAAAACAAAGACUUUCAAUGUCACUCCUUAGCAUGCAAGCAUCAAGUUAGUGACUCUUUGGAUUGGAUUGGAUUUGAAUGUUGAAUUUUAGUUGGGCAUGGUGGUGAAUACCUAUGAUCCCAGCACUUGAGAGUCAGAGAAGGAAUAUUAGGAGUUCAGGGUCAACCUGGGGUACAUCGUGCAUGUGUUCAAGGCCACAUAAUAGCCUGGCUCAAGAAAGAAAAAAGAAAGUUUGAUCUUAAAAAUUGAGCUGAGUGUCAUAAAAAUUUUUCAGUGAAUUUUGGCUCCAGAUUAUGACAGAAUGUCUGCCGGGUGAGAUGCCACACUUGACUCCCAGCGCUAAGGAGGUAGAGCAGGAGGACCAGAGUGCAAGGCCAGUCUUGGCUGCAGGGCAAGUUUGAAGCCCGCCUGGGAUACACGAGACCUUGUCUCAAACAACGAACACAACAAACAGAAAGGGCUGAACUGUAACAGUUUCUAAAAUGAUGCUAAGCACACUUCUGCUGUGUUGAACGACAUGUUCAUGCGAGGCUCUAACAUAGACAUACCAAAAGUGUUGCAGAUGCUCUGUUUGCUGCAGUAUCAAUUAUGCAGCCAAGUUUUGCUUCUUUUCACCUAAAGACAAACAAGAACCGGUGAGGUGGUCAGUGGGUAAAAGCACUGGUCACACAUGCCUGAUGACUUCACUGUGAUCUCAAAGUCCAGUAGAGUGAGAGAACUAGUUCCCCUAAGUCAUCCUCUGACUUGACCCCUGCAUGCAAACUCUGACACUUGUGUACCUACCCACCCCCAUGCCCACACUCACAUCUAUACAUCAUACACACACAAUAAUAAAAAUGAUGAUGAUAAAAGGAAUAAAUAAGCAAGUCCACUCAUUCUGUUAGUAUGCAAAUUUGCUUUAAUCCCUAAUAAAAAUACAUACCCCAGACAAUUGCUUCAAAACACAUUUCUUGAUGGUUUUUUAUUAUCAACUAAGUGUUUGAUUUGUGAAAAAGUGGUGAGGGGAAGGCAUGCUAGAAGCCCUGCCUUAAAGACGAAAGGGAAUGUAUACAGCAAACACACAGGUUUCCUUUCUCUUUGUGUGACGUGCCUUCCUGGGUGUGAGAACGCAGUCAGGCAUGCUUGCAUAGUUUCAGCCGCACACUACAUAGGCAAUCUUGCUGCAGGAUCACAUUUCUUCUGCUGCUUUAAGAACAUCUUGUAUGUUCGGGUGCCUGUUUAUACGGUGCAUGUGGACGGAGGGUGGGGACAAUAAAACAAUAGUCUCUGGGGGCCUCUGGGGAGAAUCUCUGAGUUCCCUGGGAUAGGAAGUUCCCUAAGAAAUCAGGAGCCACUAAAAUUCCCACCAAACAACAAAGUAUGUGCAGCCAAGAUAAAAGGAGAGUGGGGGUUGAGAAGGAAAAACAAAACACCUCACCCUGGUUCAGGGAAGCAGGUGCACCCAAUACAAACAAUAUCAUUUCUUCUAUUAUUUGUGGAGUCUAGGAACAAAACAAUACUCAACCCCUCCCCUCUGGGGUGGAGGGGCCUUCAAGGAUGCUCAAAGCAACAAGAUAAAAAAGGUUCUUAGUCAGCCUGCGCAACUGCAAAGAAACUAAACUUAAAACUAGCAAAUAGCAGCAGCAGCAACAACAACAACAAAACCAGACUGGAAGCAAGGAAGAAGGCCGGGCCAAUGUUUAAAGGACAUGAUCAUUGGAUGGGAUUGUGGACAUCUUCUCUUUGCGCCAUCAAAGCCAAGCCUUCAGCUUAGAAGCCAGGAGCUGAUGGGCUAAUCCCUCCUUAUUGUGGUCACAGCAAAAUGCAUGAGUCAUGUGGCUGUAAGGGACAUAGGCUAUGCUGUGGGACUGCAGAGACUCCUCUUUGCAUGGCCCCUUCUGAAGUCUUCAGGGGCCUUAGACACAUGUCUGUCUAAUCACAUAUUUUGUGACAUCUGCAAAGAUAAAUUAUUCCCAGCCUGUCGAGUGGUUCUCAAAUAGGGACCAGACUUCAGGGUUUGUAAGACCUGGACAUAAUCUGAAGUUUCCACAAAAUGUCCUUUCCAACUCUACCACGAGUCCCUUCUGUUCUUUGGAUGCAUGGAUUGAGGACCUUUGCACAAUGUAUAGCUAAGGAUGCAGCUGAGGCAAAAGGCUGGAGGAGGGUGAGGAGAUGAAACUGUAACUCAGGGAACCACUGCUUCAGGGCUCCUCUGAAGUAAGCACAAGAAUGUUGGAGGAUUGGUUCUUCUGUCUAAUGCUCCAUGCAGGUUAUCUGGCCUGUUUCUUUGGUAUUUUAUCACAUAACAUCUUGGUAAUAUUUGGUCAAAUAAUACCAAGCUUGAAGAAUUGCUCUUGGCUUCUGGGGUAGGAUCAAGGGAGGAUAAGAGACCUCAGUGAGAGGAGUGAGAGUCCCCAGCUGACUUGAGACAUGUCUGUGCUUGUCUUGGGAACACUAGUUGGUUUACAGGAAGGACUCAGGCACUUUCCAGAAAGCACCCACAGGAAGAGAACAGAGUAACAAGGUCAACCAUACUCAAAAGCCAGGGGUUGUUUUGAAUGCAGUGUGGCGUCUGUCGUUGAGAUUUUCUUCCAGCCCAGUCUCCAAGGAUCCGUGCCAGGGCCUGGAACAAAGAGGCAGAACAUUAAAGUCAUUUCAGUGGGACUGUGUGGUACUGACAGCCUCAGACUGAAUGAAACCUAGUGUGACUUGUGGGGUCACUUUCAACAGCGGGGUGAAAAAUGGUGCAGCUGUGGUCCAUGCGAAGGAUGCAUGGUUAUUAGGAGGGGAUAUGGAAGAUGCAAAUACUCCUACGGUCUCCACAGCUUUGGACGAGCAGCUUUGGAAGCAGGUGUAAUUGGAGAGAAGAAAAAUAAUUUCUUGGGAACCCGAAGAUCAUGUGAGCCAUCCGCAGGCCACUCACAGAAACUGAUCAGGAGAACUUGGAUUUGAGAGGAACAUGAACCAGAGCCCAGAGCAUCUAUGUGAUGGUGCUGGUUUAUGAUGUCACAGACAAUCAUGUGACAGGCCACCCAGAAUAUAAUUACCACGACCAGCCUCAGGGUUAGCUCUUUAUGUUAUUUAUUCCUUUAAAACUUCUCUGGAGCUAGGGAGAUUUUUUGCUAUACGAGUAAGAGGCCCUGAGUUUGAAUCCUCAGCAUCCAUGUAAAAGCUGGAGCAGGGGUGAGCACCUGUAACCCCAUCACUGUAGGAGUGGAAACAGGAAGAUCCUGUGUUCUUCCUGGCCAGCCAUUCUGGCUGGAAUGACAAGCUCCAGGUCCAAUAAGAGCCCCUAUAUCAAAAAAUAAAGCCAGGAGCAGUAGAGGAAAACACUGAAGAGGAAGAUAAACUCUCUCUCUCUCUCUCUCUCUCUCUCUCUCUCUCUCUCUCUCUCUCACACACACACACACACACACACAUACACACACACACAUACGUGAGAACUGUUAGAAUUCCUAGCCAUUCCCCCAUGAUUGUGCAUGCACUAGCAAGAUGCUUGGUCAUCCAAAGGCCUUAUGUUCUACGUAAUUUAUGUGUUGCGAGAUCACGUAAUUUGCAUGCAGCAUGAUCACAUAAUCUACGUGCAUGCAUGGCGUAGCUACGUAAGCCCAUAUGUGCAUGUGAGGGGGAAUCUUUAAAAGUGGGUCCUACACACUCCUCCUCCCUUCUUCCUACAAGAUCUUUCCAUAGGCCUAAGCACUUCCUUCUGUUCCCCUUCCCCUAAUAAACUCUUACAGAGGGUUUUGUUGUACCUCGUGGCUUUUCUCGCAUGGUAAACUGCGCUGCUUAAUAAAUAACAAGAACACCUACACUGACAUGUGACACCAUGCACCCCACCCCACCCCCUACUACCCGCUCAUUCUCCACCAUACCCCUACCACCCCAUCCCACCCCCAACUACAAACCUUCCCUGCAUGUAUCGGCUCUGUUAGUACAUUUGUUUACAGAUAAGGAGACCAAGCCUCCAGAAAAGAAUUACUAGCUCAAGAAUACACCCAACUAGCAAGAAUGUGCUUCCCUAACCUGUUUGAACCUCCAUACCUGUCUUUUAACCCUGUGCACACAGUUGGUGGUACAAAUGAAGCCAAAGAAAGACUGGU